GAGAAUUUCUGUAGUCACAAUAUUGGAUUUUGUCAUCAAUACAUGUAAUAAUGUCUUAAAAUAUAGAGACUGUCAACAACACGUUGCCUUAAUGUAAAUGAACAAGAUGGCUCAAGAGAAACACACAAGAUUAUAAUAUAUAUUUUCCCCUUUCUCAGGAACCCAAGUGCAACAGGCCACAGACAACAGUCUCUUCUAUUGGGGGAUGAUAACAGGCGUUGCAGCAUGUGUAUCUGUCCUGGUGUUUGGUGGCGUAAUCAUGAGGAAAAUUAAUCUCAGGUAAGAUAAAACUAAUAGUUUGGUAAAAGAGUUUCUGUCAUGAGUGUUUGACAGAUUUUUGGUAUUUGAAUAAUUACUUGGAAGAACUGUUGUAGAAAUUAUGCAUUCCCAAAUAUAUUUGAGUUCUACAAUGAGGAUAUAGUACUGAAUUGGUGUCAGACUUACAUGCAAUGCUAUGAGUUCAUGGGGGCUUCAACCAAAAUGUAAAACGAAACUAGGCUAGAUGUUCAACUGACAUCUGUGACCAGUGAGUAGUUUCCAAUAGCUGCACUGUUGUGGCUUCUCACUUAUCAUUUCCUGUCAAAAAUGAGUGUGGUAAAAAAAACACGUACACUGCCCACAAUCAUUUAGCUCCGGAAAAUGUGCUGUGUAAAACAGGUUUCAUUUGGUGCUAUGUUAACUCUUGUUAUUUUUUGCUCAACAGGAGAACACAGCUACAAGUGUCUGGAACCGUCAACGAGGUGCCACAACACUGCUUGCCUGAGGAGCCACAGGACAUUGGGCCCUACAACAUGUUCACAAGGAGAGACAAUGGGCUUUACUCAACUCUCCAGCUGCCACAUCCUAACCCCUGACCUUCUGGCACCAUUGACCAAUGACGACAUGGCAUUAGACACCUUCUCGUAACAGCUAGCUAUACAGCUAUACGGUAGAGUGGUAGAUAUGCAUUUACUGUGAUUAUUUUGAUUACUGAAAAUGCAAUUUCUUUCUUUGUCUGACUUGCCAUAUAUCAGCCUCUCCUUUACUGUAGAUGUUCUGUGGUGGUUGUAAAUAUGAACACAUUCUGUCUGCAGGCUGCACAUCUGUUAUGGAAAUACAAGUGUUAUAUACAGUACAUGUCUAAAAAAGUAUAGCUGUUCUGUUGUUUGCGGUUAGAACAAAGCAUGUUUCUGUGGAGAUCACCUGAUCCCAAAAUCAUAAACUUUUCCACCAGGUGUCAGUGUACUGUUGUAAAAUACAAAAAAUGUUCCUGUCAUAAACAUGAAUGCGAAAUCAGUAAAAAUCCCAACUGCCACUGAAUUCAAACUGUAACUUUAGAACACAGAAUAUUAAUGUAGACCUGUUUUAUAGUUUUCUGUUUCCUAUAUAGGCCUGGCUACAUUAAUUAGGCUACAUGUUUAAGUACAUAUGUUAAUUUAAAAAAACACACCAAACAACUAGUAACUAGCUGGAUAUGAUUUAUUAUAACUGUUUUUCCCCAAAAAUGUAUGUAUGCUGUAGCCUAUGUACGUCUGUGGACGCAAGGCCAGUCUAUUUAAAGCAUGAGAACUGUUUCAUGGAGGCCGGUCUGUCGUUUCCUUCCUGCACAUCAGUUAGCCUGACUAUCCAUCCACAUCGCUCCUGCCAACACCACGCCCACUAGCGUUUCUUCUCCACCAUGAGUCUGGAUUUGCUUUCCUUCCCGACGUCUUAAGAAUGUGAAAACAUUCUCACCAUUCUGAUUGGUCCCAGAAACUGAUUGGUUGAGACAGAGUUGGCUUACAUGAAUCACGUCAUUGGCUUUGACAUUCUGAUUGGUUAGAGACUUCCAAUUGCUGGUUAAUUUAUUUUGUACAAUACCCCUCAUUUUGAUGUCAGCACAAAUUAUUUCUAGUAUGGCAACUUUGGUCACUUAUACUUGAAUAACUUUAAAAAAAAGAAUUCACAUGUAGUGAUAAGGCCACACAGAGGGCCAGAAAUAAUUACAGACACGUGAUAAUCUGAAGUACCCAAAAAAGCUCACUAGAUGUGAUCUUAUAAAAUUCCCCCCAGAACUUGAAAGUUACCAAAAUUCUGGUAGUUUACUGGUAAUAUACCCUCCCUUUGAAACCUUUAAAUUGAAUAGAAUAAAUUAAACAUUUUCCAGAAGGAACAUCAGUUGUGGCACGUCACACAAGAUAAAGAAACAGCAACACACACGACAGAUACAGAUGCUUACAAGGUAUAUACAAGAUAAACAUUUAAAAGCUAUACUGAUGCCUGAUGGCAGUACUGCAUAUUUAUUGUUUAGUGGAAGUGUCCAAUAGGGUUGAUUUUCCAUUCUUACGUGUGUGGUCUUUGUAAAUGUCUCGGAGAGCUUUUUGGUUUCUCCCUACAAUCUUUAAACUGACCUGCACAACUCUCCCCAGGCCCUAGAGUAUCAUGACCUGAGCCAAACCAGGCAACUAAGAUAACUGUUAUAACAGGCUCAAUACAACAUCUUUAAAAAGGACAGUUUUUUUUUAAACGGAUUGAUUUUCACAGACUUUUAAAGAUAAAAUAACAUGAACCAGAUUAGUCAGUAAUGAUCAGGUGUGUGUGUGGCAAUAUGAGUACAGUCACUCAGUAGUCAUUGAAAAGGUUCCUGAGAAAGAAAAGAGGGGGAAAGAAAAUCGUAAUAUUUCAAUUGGAUGAAAACACAGGUCACUGUGAGGUAAUAAGAUGGUCUGACAGCCACUAUGACAAACAUAACAGAACAGAUACUAACAUGCAGCUGAGUGCUUGAUGCUGUCACCAUGACUACUCUAUGACCACCACAAAAUUACAUAAUUUCAGAGCUUCUUCCUCAAGAAGAGACUACAGCAGACAGUGAGAGAAUUAAGGUGUAAACCUACUUCUUUACAGCCUCCUGAGCUGGUUGUAUCCUGCGCUUCUCAGACGAGCUGAGGGAUGGUAUCCUGAAACAAGAGGACAUAUUUGAAUUAUGUUUCGAUUUUUGGGUUACUGUAAUUUAUACUAAAAGAUUUGUAACAUUCUCAAUAUCGUCUGUUUCAAGCUUUCUAUCGGGAUAAUCAAAUAAAGUUUUAAAAAUACUCACAUUUGUGACGGACUGGAGCUUGGUGUGAAAGAGAUCAAAACAGACAAUGUAGCGGCAAAAAAACAUAAACCACAGAAAUACAUUUCAAAGUUUCAUUCCCAAGUUUCUUGCUCAAUGAGAAAGAUUACAGAAGACAUUAAGACUAUGAAAGUAUGAGAAGGUAAACCUACUUCUUUGUCAUCCUACGCUUGGUUGUUGAGCUGUUUGGUGAGCUGGUUGACGAGUAUGAAGAUAAUAAAAUUAUUACUUAUCUUAAAAAGCUGUUAAAAAUGUGGAAGAGAUACUCACAUUUGUGAUGGAGUGGAGGAUGGUGUGACACUGAAAUAAAUCAAAAUCAACAAUAUACUGACAAGAACCACAUCGGAUUCAUUUUAAUUGUAUUACAAUUAUUUAAUGAUAAAGAAUGAUUUUUAACCUGUAUAGCACAAAUUCUCAGAAAAUGCAAUUGUAAUGUUCCAUGUUUUCAAAAAGGUUUCAAUCAUGAUCCCUUAAAUGUUCUUUAGAAUGAGCAUCUUACUGUUUGGAUGUUGGUGGUGUCUUUAAGGGAGUUCUGCUGAUUUCAGGGUCAGGAACUGGGGGUUUUCUACAUUAAAUUAGAGAUCAACUGGUAAACAACUGGCAGUCAAAUCACAUUCAAUUCAGAGUAACUGUUCAGUUUCAAGGAAAUAGUUUUUAUCUACCUGGAAGAGGUAUCUUUUCUCCUCUUUUGCAGCCAUAUUACACAGAAUACAGCAAUGAGACACACUGAACCCAGCACUGGACCCAUCACUGCACCAACCACUGCACCUGUGAAUGACAGAGAUGACAAGAGAAGACAGAGGUCAAAUUCCCAGGUACACUACACCAACGCCUCAUACAUGUAAAUAUGUCUCUGCACUACACCUGAAAGUUGAAUAGUAAAAGAGUCAGUCAAUAGA
ensembl:lncRNA